GGUUAAGCGACUAAGCGUACACGGUGGAUGCCCUGGCAGUCAGAGGCGAUGAAGGACGUGCUAAUCUGCGAAAAGCGUCGGUAAGGUGAUAUGAACCGUUAUAACCGGCGAUGUCCGAAUGGGGAAACCCAGUGCAAUUCGUUGCACUAUCGUUAACUGAAUACAUAGGUUAACGAGGCGAACCGGGGGAACUGAAACAUCUAAGUACCCCGAGGAAAAGAAAUCAACCGAGAUUCCCCCAGUAGCGGCGAGCGAACGGGGAGCAGCCCAGAGUCUGAAUCAGCUUGUGUGUUAGUGGAACGGUCUGGAAAGUCCGACGGUACAGGGUGAUAGUCCCGUACACCAAAAUGCACAGGUUGUGAACUCGAAGAGUAGGGCGGGACACGUGGUAUCCUGUCUGAAUAUGGGGGGACCAUCCUCCAAGGCUAAAUACUCCUGACUGACCGAUAGUGAACCAGUACCGUGAGGGAAAGGCGAAAAGAACCCCGGCGAGGGGAGUGAAAAAGAACCUGAAACCGUGUACGUACAAGCAGUGGGAGCACCUUCGGGUGUGACUGCGUACCUUUUGUAUAAUGGGUCAGCGACUUAUAUUCUGUAGCAAGGUUAACCGUAUAGGGGAGCCGCAGGGAAACCGAGUCUUAACUGGGCGUUAAGUUGCAGGGUAUAGACCCGAAACCCGGUGAUCUAGCCAUGGGCAGGUUGAAGGUUGGGUAACACUAACUGGAGGACCGAACCGACUAAUGUUGAAAAAUUAGCGGAUGACUUGUGGCUGGGGGUGAAAGGCCAAUCAAACCGGGAGAUAGCUGGUUCUCCCCGAAAGCUAUUUAGGUAGCGCCUCGUGAACUCAUCUUCGGGGGUAGAGCACUGUUUCGGCUAGGGGGUCAUCCCGACUUACCAACCCGAUGCAAACUACGAAUACCGAAGAAUGUUAUCACGGGAGACACACGGCGGGUGCUAACGUCCGUCGUGAAGAGGGAAACAACCCAGACCGCCAGCUAAGGUCCCAAAGUCAUGGUUAAGUGGGAAACGAUGUGGGAAGGCACAGACAGCCAGGAUGUUGGCUUAGAAGCAGCCAUCAUUUAAAGAAAGCGUAAUAGCUCACUGGUCGAGUCGGCCUGCGCGGAAGAUGUAACGGGGCUAAACCAUGCACCGAAGCUGCGGCAGCGACACUAUGUGUUGUUGGGUAGGGGAGCGUUCUGUAAGCCUGCGAAGGUGACCUGUGAGGGUUGCUGGAGGUAUCAGAAGUGCGAAUGCUGACAUAAGUAACGAUAAAGCGGGUGAAAAGCCCGCUCGCCGGAAGACCAAGGGUUCCUGUCCAACGUUAAUCGGGGCAGGGUGAGUCGACCCCUAAGGCGAGGCCGAAAGGCGUAGUCGAUGGGAAACAGGUUAAUAUUCCUGUACUUGGUGUUACUGCGAAGGGGGACGGAGAAGGCUAUGUUAGCCGGGCGACGGUUGUCCCGGUUUAAGCAUGUAGGCUGGUUGUCCAGGCAAAUCCGGAUAAUCAAGGCUGAGGUGUGAUGACGAGGCACUACGGUGCUGAAGUAACAAAUGCCCUGCUUCCAGGAAAAGCCUCUAAGCAUCAGGUAACAUCAAAUCGUACCCCAAACCGACACAGGUGGUCAGGUAGAGAAUACCAAGGCGCUUGAGAGAACUCGGGUGAAGGAACUAGGCAAAAUGGUGCCGUAACUUCGGGAGAAGGCACGCUGGUGUGUAGGUGAAGCCCCUGCGGGUGGAGCUGAGACCAGUCGAAGAUACCAGCUGGCUGCAACUGUUUAUUAAAAACACAGCACUGUGCAAACACGAAAGUGGACGUAUACGGUGUGACGCCUGCCCGGUGCCGGAAGGUUAAUUGAUGGGGUUAUCCGUAAGGAGAAGCUCUUGAUCGAAGCCCCGGUAAACGGCGGCCGUAACUAUAACGGUCCUAAGGUAGCGAAAUUCCUUGUCGGGUAAGUUCCGACCUGCACGAAUGGCGUAAUGAUGGCCAGGCUGUCUCCACCCGAGACUCAGUGAAAUUGAACUCGCUGUGAAGAUGCAGUGUACCCGCGGCAAGACGGAAAGACCCCGUGAACCUUUACUAUAGCUUGACACUGAACAUUGAGCCUUGAUGUGUAGGAUAGGUGGGAGGCUUUGAAGCGUGGACGCCAGUCUGCGUGGAGCCAACCUUGAAAUACCACCCUUUAAUGUUUGAUGUUCUAACGUUGGCCCCUGACCGGGGUUGCGGACAGUGUCUGGUGGGUAGUUUGACUGGGGCGGUCUCCUCCCAAAGCGUAACGGAGGAGCACGAAGGUUAGCUAAUCCUGGUCGGACAUCAGGAGGUUAGUGCAAUGGCAUAAGCUAGCUUGACUGCGAGCGUGACGGCGCGAGCAGGUGCGAAAGCAGGUCAUAGUGAUCCGGUGGUUCUGAAUGGAAGGGCCAUCGCUCAACGGAUAAAAGGUACUCCGGGGAUAACAGGCUGAUACCGCCCAAGAGUUCAUAUCGACGGCGGUGUUUGGCACCUCGAUGUCGGCUCAUCACAUCCUGGGGCUGAAGUAGGUCCCAAGGGUAUGGCUGUUCGCCAUUUAAAGUGGUACGCGAGCUGGGUUUAGAACGUCGUGAGACAGUUCGGUCCCUAUCUGCCGUGGGCGCUGGAGAAUUGAGGGGGCUGCUCCUAGUACGAGAGGACCGGAGUGGACGCAUCACUGGUGUUCGGGUUGUCAUGCCAAUGGCACUGCCCGGUAGCUAAAUGCGGAAGAGAUAAGUGCUGAAAGCAUCUAAGCACGAAACUUGCCCCGAGAUGAGUUCUCCCUGAGACUUUAAGUCUCCUGAAGGAACGUUAAAGACGAUGACGUUGAUAGGCCGGGUGUGUAAGCGCAGCGAUGCGUUGAGCUAACCGGUACUAAUGAACCGUGAGGCUUAACCUU
rnacentral:rRNA from 1 species